UACGUAGGGUGCGAGCGUUUAAUCGGAAUUACUGGGCGUAAAGCGUGCGCAGGCGGUUGGUUAAGUCUGAUGUGAAAGCCCCGGGCUCAACCUGGGAAUGGCAUUGGAAACUGGCUUGCUGGAGUGUGGCAGAGGGGGGUGGAAUUCCGCGUGUAGCAGUGAAAUGCGUAGAGAUCCGGAGGAACCCCAGAGGCGAAGGCGGUGCCCUGGCUCGCAACUGACGCUCAGACACGACAGCAUGGGAGCGGAACGGG
rnacentral:rRNA from 1 species